ensembl:lncRNA
GCAGAAUAACAGCCCCAGAGGCAUCUGUCCCUGUCCCUGGAACCUGUGACAUGGCAAAGAGAAAUUAAGGUUUCAGGUGGAAUGAAGUUUGCUAAUCAGCUGACCUUAAACGAAGGAGAUUAUGCUGGAUUAGCCAGGUGGGCUUAAUAUAGAUGCCAGGCUCCUGAGAAGGGGAAGAAGAAGGCAGAAGAGAGUCAGAGAGAUGGCAAUGGGAAGAAAUGCCCUGCUGUUGGAUGGCUUUGAGGUUGGAGGAAGGGCCCAGGAAGCAAGGCAGGUGGGCAGCUUCUAGAAGCCAGAAAGGACAAGGAAGUGGAUCCUUCUCAAGAGCCUCCAGAAAGGCAGGCUGCUCUGUCGACACCUUGACUUCAGCCCCGUGAGACCCAUCUCAGACUUCUGAACGACAGCACUGUGAGCAAACAGGUCCUGCUGUGCCGCACUUGAGACCUGUGCUAUUGUGGCUGUUAAAAGGAAGCCAGACCCACUAUCCAUCACUACCAUGAGGUGUGACUGCAGGACCAUUUGAGCGGCUGUGUUGAGAGGAGACUCAAGAAAGCCUUCUAACCUCCAUCUUUGAUAGUGGAGGUGUCCACCAGGAGCCGCUGGCACCCUUUGUCAGCGAGCUAAACACUCUCCUGGCCUUGGAGUCACAGAAGUUGAAGGAGGAGAUUCAAGGAGGCAGAGUUGCUGCAGGCCAACAAGGUGGAGCUUAAUGAGUCUUCUCCUGACUAAGCCUGACUAAUUUGUGAGAAUUUUGAAUAAACCUGACUCUUUCAAUGGCAAUUCUGAGGACCCAGUUGGAUAGAACACGUCUUCAGGCUUAGAUUGGAAACUGGGUGUGUCUAAUAUUCUACAAAUACACUUGUAAUAAAUUAAUGGUGGCUUCCGUGAAGCGGUUCCUCACGGUCUACUCCACAAAGCUACAGAGAACAGAGUUGCAGUUAAUGCAAACUGUGAAGGAGUCCAUCCAAAAAGGCCUCCCAUCCAUCUGGAGCUAAUGAUGUUUCCAGCACUCAGCGAGGCUCCUGGGAACCAAACAACCCUGUUGUCAGCCCACCUGGUCUAGCAUUUCCAGGAGCAGCUGGCUUGUUCCAGAGAGGUCUAAGUCCUCCAAUCCAUCAGAGACGCCCCGGUCUGGUUCUGUGGAAAUUUCUAGGCUAGUUAUUUCCUCCAUGACUCAUCCAUGUGUUUCAUCCAAACUUAAAAAUGCUCCUCCUGUCACCCUCCUCUCCAAAGUCCCAACCCCUGUGGCUCUGUGCUUUCUUCUCCCUGAACAGAUGUAAUUUCCACCGUAUUUCUUAGAACCUAUACUUAAUUGCACACAACAUCACAUACGCCCUUAGCCUAGUCACAGAUCCUUCAACCAUUUUCUGGCUCUCACUGAAACCUUCUCUCUCAAGUGGACACUCUCAUUUGGGUUGGAGUCCUUGCUCCCAAUGUAACUUGUAGAUCUUUACUCCUCCGCAGUUCUCCUCGCUCAUUCCCCUCUUUCCGGGAGCCCCUGGGCUCACUGUCAAUCUUUUCAUCUCAGGUGUAUAAAUCCACCCUUCAUCUUAGGCUCUUAACUCCUUUUCCUCCUCAACAGACCAGGAACCUGGUAUCACCUACCAUCCAAAUAUACCCCAAAGCUCACCACUUCUUUCUGCCUCCACUGCCUCCACCUAGGCUGCAUUCCAGGCCACCACAGUCUUUUACCUGUGCUGCUAUAACCUUGUAAAUCAGCUUUCUGAUUCUCCUUUUGCCCCCAUAGUCAGUUUUCCAUUCAGCUGCCAGAGGAAUUUCCCUAAAAUGUAUCAUGUCAUGUCAUGCCUCUGCUCAGAACCCUUUAGGGGCUUUCCAUCCCACUGAGACUGAAAUCCAAAGCCCUCUGGGGUCAACCCCUGCCCAUCUCUCUGCCUCAACUCCUAUCACAUCCCUCUUGUUCAGGCCGCCCCCGCCAUACUGGAAUCCUUGGGCCCCACCAAGCUCAUUCUCUCCUCACAGUCUCUUCCUGGAGAGCUCCUUUUGUGGACAUCCACAUGGCUUUCUCUCCACUCCAUUCAGCUCCCUGCUUGAAUGGAAUGCCCCGGAGAGCCCUCCCUGAUCACUUUAUCCAGAAUAGUCCCUUCCUCUCCUUGCCCCCAAUAUCACUCUCAACUUGAAGCUGUGCACACCUUAAAACCACAGUUAUAAUGUCCAGGUGUGUUUGUU